rnacentral:misc_RNA from 1 species
AAGUCGUAACAAGGUCUCCGUAGGUGAACCUGCGGAGGGAUCAUUACCGAGUGAGGGCCUCCGUGCCCAACCUCCCAACCCUUUGUUGAUGAAUACUUGUUGCCUCGGGGGGCGACCCGGACGUCGCGCCGGCAGUCCCCCAGAGGUCCACCAAACCCUGCAUCUUUGCGUCGGAGUAUUGAAAUUAAAUCAAUUAAAACUUUCAACAACGGAUCUCUUGGUUCUG